rnacentral:rRNA from 1 species
UACGAAGGGUGCAAGCGUUGCUCGGAAUUACUGGGCGUAAAGCGUGCGUAGGUGGUGAGUUAAGUCUGUCGUGAAAGCCCCGGGCUCAACCUGGGAAUGGCGAUGGAUACUGGCUCGCUAGAGUGCGGUAGAGGAGAGUGGAAUUCCCGGUGUAGCAGUGAAAUGCGUAGAGAUCGGGAGGAACAUCAGUUGCGAAGGCGGCUCUCUGGACCAGCACUGACACUGAGGCACGAAAGCGUGGGGAGCAAACAGG